CAGUAGCCGCGGGAAUACGUAGGUGGCAAGCGUUGUCCGGAAUUAUUGGGCGUAAAGGGCUCGCAGGCGGUUUCUUAAGUCUGAUGUGAAAGCCCCCGGCUCAACCGGGGAGGGUCAUUGGAAACUGGGAAACUUGAGUGCAGAAGAGGAGAGUGGAAUUCCACGUGUAGCGGUGAAAUGCGUAGAGAUAUGGAGGAACACCAGUGGCGAAGGCGACUCUCUGGUCUGUAACUGACGCUGAGGAGCGAAAGCGUGGGGAGCGAACAGGAUUAGAUACCCCUGUAGUCCCUGUCUCUUAUAC
rnacentral:rRNA from 1 species